AUUGAACGCUGGCGGCAGGCCUAACACAUGCAAGUCGAACGGUAACAGGAAGCAGCUUGCUGCUUUGCUGACGAGUGGCGGACGGGUGAGUAAUGUCUGGGAAACUGCCCGCUGGAGGGGGAUAACUACUGGAAACGGUAGCUAAUACCGCAUAACGUCGCAAGACCAAAGAGGGGGACCUUAGGGCCUCUUGUCGUCGUAUAUUCCCAGAUGGGAUUGGCUAGUAGGUGGGGUAACGGCUCCCCUAGGCGACGAUGCGUAGCUGGUCUGAGAGGAUGACCAGCCACACUGGAACUGAGACACGGUCCAGACUCCUACGGGAGGCAGCAGUGGGGAAUAUUGCACAAUGGGCGCAAGCCUUAUGCAGCCAUGCCGCGUGUAUGAAGAAGGCCUUCGGGUUGUAAAGUACUUUCAGCGGGGAGGAAGGGAGUAAAGUUAAUACCUUUGCUCAUUGACGUUACCCGCAGAAGAAGCACCGGCUAACUCCGUG
rnacentral:rRNA from 1 species